rnacentral:rRNA from 1 species
GACGAACGCUGGCGGCGUGCCUAAUACAUGCAAGUAGAACGCUGAAGGGAGGAGCUUGCUCUUCUUGGAUGAGUUGCGAACGGGUAAGUAAUGCGUAGGUAACCUGCCUUGUAGCGGGGGAUAACUAUUGGAAACGAUAGCUAAUACCGCAUAACAAUGGAUGACACAUGUCAUUUAUUUGAAAGGGGCAAUUGCUCCACUACAAGAUGGACCUGCGUUGUAUUAGCUAGUAGGUGAGGUAAUGGCUCACCUAGGCGACGGUACAUAGCCGACCUGAGAGGGUGGUCGGCCACACUGGGAAUGAGACACGGCCCCGACUCCUACGGGAGGCAGCAGUAGGGAAUCUUCGGCCAUGGGGGCAACCCUGACCGAGCAACGCCGCGUGAGUGAAGAAGGUUUUCGGAUCGUAAAGCUCUGUUGUAAGUCAAGAAAGGGUGUGAGAGUGGAAAGUUCACGCUGUGACGUUAGCUUACCAGAAAGCGACGGCUAACUACGUG